rnacentral:rRNA from 1 species
UUGAACGCUGGCGGCAUGCCUUACACAUGCAAGUCGAACGGCAGCACGGGAGCAAUCCUGGUGGCGAGUGGCGAACGGGUGAGUAAUACAUCGGAACGUGCCCAGUAGUGGGGGAUAGCCCGGCGAAAGCCGGAUUAAUACCGCAUACGACCUACGGGUGAAAGCGGGGGAUCGCAAGACCUCGCGCUAUUGGAGCGGCCGAUGGCAGAUUAGGUUGUUGGUGAGGUAAAAGCUCACCAAGCCGACGAUCUGUAGCUGGUUUGAGAGGACGACCAGCCACACUGGGACUGAGACACGGCCCAGACUCCUACGGGAGGCAGCAGUGGGGAAUUUUGGACAAUGGGCGCAAGCCUGAUCCAGCCAUGCCGCGUGCGGGAAGAAGGCCUUCGGGUUGUAAACCGC